GUCGAGCGGAGAUGAGGUGCUUGCACCUUAUCUUAGCGGCGGACGGGUGAGUAAUGCUUAGGAAUCUGCCUAUUAGUGGGGGACAACAUUCCGAAAGGAAUGCUAAUACCGCAUACGUCCUACGGGAGAAAGCAGGGGAUCUUCGGACCUUGCGCUAAUAGAUGAGCCUAAGUCGGAUUAGCUAGUUGGUGGGGUAAAGGCCUACCAAGGCGACGAUCUGUAGCGGGUCUGAGAGGAUGAUCCGCCACACUGGGACUGAGACACGGCCCAGACUCCUACGGGAGGCAGCAGUGGGGAAUAUUGGACAAUGGGGGGAACCCUGAUCCAGCCAUGCCGCGUGUGUGAAGAAGGCCUUAUGGUUGUAAAGCACUUUAAGCGAGGAGGAGGCUACUGAGACUAAUACUCUUGGAUAGUGGACGUUACUCGCAGAAUAAGCACCGGCUAACUCUGUGCCAGCAGCCGCGGUAAUACAGAGGGUGCGAGCGUUAAUCGGAUUUACUGGGCGUAAAGCGUGCGUAGGCGGCUUUUUAAGUCGGAUGUGAAAUCCCCGAGCUUAACUUGGGAAUUGCAUUCGAUACUGGGAAGCUAGAGUAUGGGAGAGGAUGGUAGAAUUCCAGGUGUAGCGGUGAAAUGCGUAGAGAUCUGGAGGAAUACUCGAUGGCGAAGGCAGCCAUCUGGNCUAAUACUGACGCUGAGGUACGAAAGCAUGGGGAGCAAACAGGAUUAGAUACCCUGGUAGUCCAUGCCGUAAACGAUGNUCUACUAGCCGUUGGGGNCUUUGAGGCUUUAGUGGCGCAGCUAACGCGAUAAGUAGACCG
rnacentral:rRNA from 1 species